GCAAAAUUCAGAGAAAGGUGAAUUUUGAGGGAUAGCUCUCCCCGUUAUACAUUUGGGAAGUGCAAACUGGAAAGACGCAUCAACAACUGGGUUUGGACGUGAGGGCAAAACAGUACUGGGACAGAAGAUCAUAGAAGACCAUUGACUUUGAAGAGUACAAAUAUAAAACACAUGGGACCCAAUCCCUGUACACUACAGCCUCUUGGGAGAGAAGUCACUUUGCCAUAAUAAUUGGCUGUCCUAGUUGCAGAAUCUGACAUGUCAGGAGAGAAGUACAUAAACUCUGCUGCAGCAUGGUGUUCUGAAGACUGAUUACUAGGCAUCUGUUUUGCUUGUACUUCGAAGAUACAAAAUAAUGUCCACCUCCUGUAUUUGAAUAGAGGCAUAAUGUGCUUACCUGGGGCAUCAGUCUGUCUUAUUUUGUUUUUCUCCUCUUCAAGAAGAUUUCCCUUUCAAAUAUGCAGGAAGCUGUGGUCUGUGGGGAGCCAUUUUCACUCUGGCCGGAUAAAGACUAUCCACAGACCACAAAAUCUUAUCCUGUCGCCAGUUGCGGGACAGAACUCUUGAGAUCGUUUGUAAGUCUUCGAUUUGAUAAAUGGAUCGUGUUAUGGGGAAACUGAAAUAUCAGGUUGGCAGAUUUAGUCUAAUUGACCCGGAUGACUGGCAUCAAUUACACAUUGUACUGUGGCCAGUGACUGCAAGCAGACCUCUCUCUGUGGCCUUUGAUUCUUCAGCCAGCUUUUUGCCUAUGUGUUUCCUGAAGACCCGAAAAGAACCCUCGAAGAUGGACAGGGAUAUCGAGUUGGAAAAACUGAUGGAAUUGUUUAAACAUCAUUAUGUCUAUGAAGGGUUUAGGACAACAACUUUGUUUGUAUGGAGAGAAACACAUACAAACAUACAUGCACUGACAGUAGGAGAAUUCCACACCAAAGACUUCCUUUUCAAACAGCAAUAAAUGUUCUUCAGUUUCACUUACUCAUGAGAUGUCUUUUGUCCUUGAUUGCUGAAGGACACAUAGAGGCGUCAAUACAUGCGGGGUGAUAGGAAACAAUGCAUGCCCAGCCCAAAAUUGCAUUUGGGCAUGAGCAUCUCGCUGUCAUUGUAAUGUGGAUAUGGUACCCUUGCCCGCAUUGUGUGAGCUGCAAUGUAGGUGUGCAUCUGAGUGUGCAGUGGUGCCCAGUUGUGCAUAUUCUUUCCA